rnacentral:rRNA from 1 species
GACGAACGCUGGCGGCGUGCUUAACACAUGCAAGUCGAACGAGACGAUUGAAAGCUUGCUUUCGAAAGUCGAGUGGCAAACGGGUGAGUAACGCGUAGACAACCUGCCUUUGAGAUGGGGACAACAGUUCGAAAGGACUGCUAAUACCGAAUGUUGUAUAUUUUCCACAUGGAAGAUAUAUUAAAGAUGGCCUCUAUUUAUAAGCUAUCGCUCAAAGAUGGGUCUGCGUCUGAUUAGCUGGUUGGUGGGGUAACGGCCUACCAAGGCGACGAUCAGUAGCCGGUCUGAGAGGAUGAACGGCCACAUUGGGACUGAGACACGGCCCAGACUCCUACGGGAGGCAGCAGUGGGGAAUCUUCCACAAUGGACGAAAGUCUGAUGGAGCAACGCCGCGUGAGUGAAGAAGGGUUUCGGCUCGUAAAGCUCUGUUGUCGGGGACGAAUGUGCAGUAUUUGAAUAAAGUACUGCAAUGACGGUACCUGACGAGGAAGCCACGGCUAACUUCGUGCCAGCCGCCGCAGUAACAC